rnacentral:rRNA from 1 species
UACGGAGGAUGCGAGCGUUAUCCGGAUUUAUUGGGUUUAAAGGGUGCGUAGGCGGUUCCUUAAGUAAGCGGUAAAAUCGCGGGGCUCAACCCCGCCGAGCCGUUUAGACUGGGGGACUUGAGACGGCGAGAAGUACGCGGAAUGCGCGGUGUAGCGGUGAAAUGCAUAGAUAUCGCGCAGAACUCCGAUUGCGAAGGCAGCGUACCGGCGCCGUUCUGACGCUGAGGCACGAAAGCGUGGGGAUCGAACAGG